GUGAGUUCAUCCUAUUUUCUUCAGUACGAUUUUUUUUUCUUGAUGUAAUGCCUCUUCCCCUAUGAGUUGAUAAUCUUGGGAGAGCAACCGUAGACAUUGGUUAAUUAAGGAACGCAUACUAAAAAUAUAUGUUCCCUGAACUGAUACCUUCGAAGAGUAUGCAAUGACAGAGGUAAUGACCUUUGCCAAAGAUGCUCUAGAGUUUAAAGUCCACUCAAGCAUCUGGUAGUUAAUGUUAGUUUUCAAUGGAAAUCUAACCACCAGUACUAGUGUUAAGCUUCUCAAUAAAUGCAGCACAGUUUAGAGCCUGGGGGUGAUGAUGUUGGAUCAUUGAUGACCAUAAAAGAUGUGGGAGUCGUCUGAAACAUGCAUGAUGACCACAACUUUGCGAGUCUGAGGUCCACAUCAUAAUCUAUGCACUGCAUGCUGGGAUCCUGGUGAGAGAUGUUAGGAACAGUCUACUUUGAAUAUGGAGUUUUAAUGUAGAUUAAAGAAAAAAUUGGAAAUUGUGUCUACUAAGACAUAAACCCAUAGGAAGAGUGCUAAUCAUCUUGACCGGGUAGUAUCUGAGUCAGAAACGAUGACAGAGGGAUCCCAAUAAGCCAUGGAAAGUCAUUGUCUUUGUUCCUGGUGACGUCAGAGUCAUGGGUUUUGAUGUGUCAGGAAGACCAAUCCAAUUGGAUUGAUAGCUCAAGCAAAGGAUUGGAUAGAGGAGAAGUGAUCAAGGCAGAUAGAUGUAAAUUAUGGAUGAGUAAAGAGAAAGUUAAUCUUUUUCUCAUUUUUUUUCUGCAUUUUACUCUCAGAAUAGAUACCUCCAAGGUGAUCUCCAAGUUCUUCCUCAGUCUUGAGGUUUGGGAUACCCGGUUUGUGUCAGCAGAAUUGUGUGAGUGUGAGUUCAUCCUAUUUUCUCAAGAACGAUUUGUUUUCUUGCAUGUAUUCCCUCUUCCGGUAUGAAUUUAGUAUCUUGGGAGAGCAACUGUAGACAGUGGUUCAAUAAGGAACGCAUACGAAAAAAAAUAUGACCGAUUCCUAUGAAGAGUGUGUAAUGACAGAGGUAGUGACCACUGCCAAAGAUGCUCUAGAGUUUAAAGUCCACUCAAGCAUCUGGUAGUUAAUGUUAGUUUUCAAUGGAAAUCUGACCAGCACUACUAGUGAUCAGCGGCUCAAUAAAUGCAGCACAAUUUAGAGCCUGG
rnacentral:lncRNA from 1 species